rnacentral:rRNA from 1 species
GAUGAACGCUAGCUACAGGCUUAACACAUGCAAGUCGAGGGGCAUCAGGAAGAAAGCUUUGCUUUCUUUUGCUGGCGACCGGCGCACGGGUGAGUAACACGUAUCCAACCUGCCCUUUACUCGGGGAUAGCCUUUCGAAAGAAAGAUUAAUACCCGAUGGCAUAAUGAUUCCGCAUGGUUUCAUUAUUAAAGGAUUCCGGUAAAGGAUGGGGAUGCGUUCCAUUAGGUUGUUGGUGAGGUAACGGCUCACCAAGCCUUCGAUGGAUAGGGGUUCUGAGAGGAAGGUCCCCCACAUUGGAACUGAGACACGGUCCAAACUCCUACGGGAGGCAGCAGUGAGGAAUAUUGGUCAAUGGGCGCUAGCCUGAACCAGCCAAGUAGCGUGAAGGAUGAAGGCUCUAUGGGUCGUAAACUUCUUUUAUAUAAGAAUAAAGUGCAGUAUGUAUACUGUUUUGUAUGUAUUAUAUGAAUAAGGAUCGGCUAACUCCGUGCCAGCAGCCGCGGUAAUACGGAGGAUCCGAGCGUUAUCCGGAUUUAUUGGGUUUAAAGGGAGCGUAGGUGGACUGGUAAGUCAGUUGUGAAAGUUUGCGGCUCAACCGUAAAAUUGCAGUUGAUACUGUCAGUCUUGAGUACAGUAGAGGUGGGCGGAAUUCGUGGUGUAGCGGUGAUAUGCUUAGAUAUCACGAAGAACUCCGAUUGCGAAGGCAGCUCACUGGACUGCAACUGACACUGAUGCUCGAAAGUGUGGGUAUCAAACAGGAUUAGAUACCCUGGUAGUCCACACAGUAAACGAUGAAUACUCGCUGUUUGCGAUAUACAGUAAGCGGCCAAGCGAAAGCAUUAAGUAUUCCACCUGGGGAGUACGCCGGCAACGGUGAAACUCAAAGGAAUUGACGGGGGCCCGCACAAGCGGAGGAACAUGUGGUUUAAUUCGAUGAUACGCGAGGAACCUUACCCGGGCUUAAAUUGCAGUGGAAUGAUGUGGAAACAUGUCAGUGAGCAAUCACCGCUGUGAAGGUGCUGCAUGGUUGUCGUCAGCUCGUGCCGUGAGGUGUCGGCUUAAGUGCCAUAACGAGCGCAACCCUUAUCUUCAGUUACUAACAGGUCAUGCUGAGGACUCUGGAGAGACUGCCGUCGUAAGAUGUGAGGAAGGUGGGGAUGACGUCAAAUCAGCACGGCCCUUACGUCCGGGGCUACACACGUGUUACAAUGGGGGGUACAGAAGGCAGCUAGCGGGUGACCGUAUGCUAAUCCCAAAAUCCUCUCUCAGUUCGGAUCGAAGUCUGCAACCCGACUUCGUGAAGCUGGAUUCGCUAGUAAUCGCGCAUCAGCCACGGCGCGGUGAAUACGUUCCCGGGCCU